rnacentral:misc_RNA from 1 species
UCGAAACCUGCAUAGCAGAACGACCCGUGAACAUGUAACAACAAUCSGGUGUCCUUGGUAUCGGGCUCUUGUUCGAUYAAUUGGAUGCCUUGUCGAUGUGCGUCUUUGGUCAGCCCUUUGGGUYCUAAGGACGUCACAUUGGCACAACAACAAACCCCCGGCACGGCAUGUGCCAAGGAAAAUUAAACUUAAGAAGGGCUUGUACCAUGCUUCCCCGUUUGCGGGGUUUGCAURGGACGUGGCUUCUUUAUAAU